CGCCGCGGUAACCCGGCAGGACGUCACUGCGCAUGCCCGGCCGCGCUGCCGCCCGCCAGCAGAGGGGAGGCCGCAGCAUCCCACUGACACCCUGCAGAUUCCUUUGCUGCCUGGGAUUCCUCAUCCCUUACUGACUUGACACUUCCCUUGCUGUUUCUGGGAUCACAGUUCGGCAUCCUUUUGCAUUUGAGGUUUUUUCCAUGUUCUGUGCUGGAACUGCUGUAAGAACAGCUGCAAGAAUACAGCCUACUGCUUCCGUCAGCGAGAGGAGGGGCAGCUCAUCAGGAGGCAAACACCACACCAAUCAAGUUAGGAAAUCUUUUCUUAGGAGAGCCAUGCCUCUGUUGCACACUUGGCCCACUAGUACUGCUGAGGGUGAUGCCACAGGAGAGGAAAUCAUAGCCUGGCCACUGCCCAACGCGGCCAGUGUGGGCUCUCAUGCAGUUCCACCUGCACAGCUGCAGAGGUGUGAGCUCAGCACUUCCCCAGGGCUGCUCUCAAGGCAUCCCAGGGCUUUGUGCCUCAGCCUGCUUACACGUUCAGGCUUUCUUCCUACAGGAGCCACAGGCCUGUGGGGAAGGGGUGCUUCUGAGACUCUCUGGUGCCAGUUUUGAUUCCUCUGUGCCGUGGCUGGUUUGUAAUCGUCACUGCCUGGGCAAAAGUGAACACUGCUGCCCUUGGCAGAGAUGGGAAUUGGCAGAUUGGAAAUCUCUUAUUUGCCAGAGUUGUUCCUUCAUAUCUCAUGUUUUCCAGAGCAGCAAAUACAGAUGCAAAUCUCCACGUGGCAAGCAGUGCUGCAUCCUUGUCUUAUUGUCACAGACCCAUCCAUUUUUAUCCCAUGCAUGUGAACCUUCCCCAUCGCAGACUUUUGCAGUGAAGCCACAAGCUUGCACCUUUCCUGUAUCUUUCUCCUGUAUCUCGGCAAGUCAGAGACAAAAUUGGCUGUUCCUUUGAUUUGCUGAUCAGCAGCAUCUGAUGUGUCAGGCAAUAGUUCGAACUGCUCAGCAGGGAUCCUCAUAUCCUGCAUUUCAAGGCUCCACGUCCUGCAGUGCCAGACCUCCCUGCCUAUCUCAGCACAACUCUGAAACACUGUUAGUAUAGAAGUGAACCUUGACUUGGGCAGUUUCUUUUCUGAUAUUUGCCCUCUUGUUAAGACAAGCAUGUAUGCUACCAGAAGCAGUUAUGAAAAAAGGAAUACAGCAGAUGGGAAAAAGGGCAACAGGAAUUCAAAGAGGAAGUGGUCAGUAUUUGCUCAUAACUUUUGCGUAACAGCUCUUCUCUUGGUUCCGUGAGUAGGGAAAACCUAUUACAGCAGCAAGGAAAGGGAAACAUUUCUUUCUGUUUCUGAGCAUGAGAACCAGACUCCUCACCGCUGAAAGCUGCCCAGCACGUUUAAUUCAGCGGUGUGCUCAGGCUGCAAUGGUUCAUUGCACCACGAGUAAAAUGCUGUGCAUGUAAUUACACAUUGCAAUCUGCUGAAGGGCCCUGUGUUAGCCAAGUCCCAUUUAGCUCCCACUUUCUACAAGACUUUGUUUUCUUUGCAAAAGGGUAAAUUCCACUGGUAUUUCAUUUCCUAUUUUAAUUUUUAUUUUUGCAAAUUAGAAGUUUGGUGUUUGGAGGAUGUGAGUGGCUUCUGAAGAAUAUUUUGAUGAUGAGCAUGACCGCCAGGUGGGUAGAAGGGAGACGCCCUCCAGUGCCAGUGGUGGUGCCAUGCUCUGUGCCACACCAAGGAAGGGAUCAGAGGGCUGAGACCCACCAUAAACUGCCUCCAGCACAGUGACAGAACUGCCUGCCGCUGCCGGCUGGUUUUGAAGGCUCUUGCAGCUCUGAGUGUAGCCAUGCUGGAGCCAUUUGUUAUGGAGCUACGGCCUGUUCAGGAGAAAUGAGCUUAUGCAAAUGUCAGCUAAUGAUAAAUAAGUGUCUUUAAUUUAUUUAUUAACUUUGGAAUUAGUGGAAAAGAGCUUCAAGGGAUAUUGGCAACUACCAAAUUUCAAAACUGUUUAUUAGUGUUUUACCUGUACAGUUGAAAGCACUGUCUUUGAAGAAGCAACAGUUGAAAGGAAGGAUAAUUUGGCUUUUUUCUUUUUACAGUCUCUUCUCUGCAAAUAUAAUCUUCCCACUUGCUUAUUUUCUACUUCAUCUUUCCUUUUUUCUUUUCUACUGCUGUGGGAUAAAACUAUGAUUGCAAGUACAGAACACAUCUAGGGGGACCUGAGAACAUAGAGACCACCGAAACAAUUUCAUAUUGCAAGCUCAAGUCCUCCUUUAGCUCUCACUUACAAAUGUUUUACAGCUACAAACCUGCUAGUCUCCAUACUGUAAUAAUCAUUCAACUUCAUGAAUAAUUUUGCCUAUCAACCACAAGAUAAAAUCUAGCAAUAUGUUACUUCUUUGUGUGAGAUGUGGUAAUCUUUCCUAUAGAUCUGGAAAGGGGGAGAAACUUCACAAAUUCUGAUCUGAAAAUUGCUUUUCCUUCCUCUCUGUAAAGAUCAAGGACACAAAGGCUGCAGUCCAACCUCCAGCACUGAGAGGGCCUAGUUUUUCCCAAGCUUUUGAUGCUGGGAAACCCUUACAGAGACGGAGCCUCUGCCUUUGCAAUCACUUUCCACUCCCAUGACGUUCUUUCAGGUUCAUCCUUUCAGUGAAAAAAGCCUUUCUGGGCCCUUGGUCCUAGAGAAUGUCUGAAGGUGAGUGAACCUUUAUGUCUCAUUUAGAGACCUUUCUACAUCUGGUGGUGGGAAAUGUGGAAAGAGCUGCUACCUUCACCGCUGUCAUCAAAAGACAGUCACACCAGACUGGGCAUCUAACACUGACCUUUGGCAUGUGGUAGAGGACAAGAGCAAAAUUUCAGAGGAAGGACUUGCUGCGGUGCAGGCCAGAAUGGCUUGGUUUUGUUUAUGGUGGCAGAGAGGACUCAGUCUCACUCUCAGGAAGGCAGAACCACCUCAAUGAGUUUCUUUCAAGAAGAAAUCUCUAUGUGCCUGGAGCAAAACAUAGGCAAGUUUGUGAUGCCUCAGACCAAGAGAAGUAUGGAAUAAAGCCUUGUUACAUGUCUUGAGCUUAUGGGCACCUGAGCAUCACUGGUAUCUAAACUUCUACAGAAACAUUUGUCCAGAGAUGCAGCCAUCCUGCUGAGCUGAGAACCUCCAUGUCUUCUUCUCAUCUAAGACAGCAGAAUACAUGAUCACUUCCAUUUCAAAACACACCAGGGAGUAUCUUCUGCUGUUUGUGCAACAGCGUAGGAGGUAGAGCUCAUGCUCUGCAAAAGAGAGACCACUUUAAUUCCCUUCUCAGCUGAAAGGAUUUAAAUCAGUUGUUCCAAGGACAGCGAGUCAGUAAGCUACGAAAUGAUGUGGGUAGGGAAGAAAGUCUGCCUCUCUCUUUGAAGCUAGGUCACUGCAAGUCCAAGAGUGAGAUGGUGGAAGGAGAGGAAAUGUAAUAGUCAGAGUCUGCAGCCCACAAGUUGGGCACUUAUCUGGGAGUGUAAUCCCAAAGCAAAAGAUGUAUGGAAACCAGUCCCAUGCAAGUAUAUAAGGUAUGUUCCUGUGGCCUUAGGAGAUCAGAUGUGGGUUUUUUCUACCUUGUAGAAAGGAAGCUCUUUGUUGAAAGAAAAUUCUAAAAGAUUAACAAUAUAUGAAGAUUUUAAGAACUCUUCAGAAGACAGAAUGUAAGGUCUAACCCAGCUUUUAAUGCAGAGUUCACAAACUUCUGAUCUACAGGUCCAGUUUUUAAGACGAUGUUCCCCUUCUGUUCCUUACAAGCUCUGUAUCCGCAGUGCUGCAGCAUGUUGAGUCCUCACAGCCCAUGGCAUAGCAGUUUCAAGAACUGUUAGUCCAAAUUUUCAGGUUACUGAAAGGCAAGGCUGAUGUAAAAUGAGCAGAUUUUAGGUCACUUGGGUUUUCAUUUGCAACUCUCAAAUCUUGGAAGUAAAAUGCCUGAGAACUUGUUUCCAAAAAGACUGCAAUUAAAGAGGAAAAGUCAAACUGGCUGAUUAUGGGGAAAAUGUUUAUACUUCCCUUGUGGAUCACUGUUGCAUCUCCAGAAUUUGGAUGGUGUAUUUCUUAUAAAAACUGCACGUACUUUGUCACUGAGACAUUCUCUCCUUGCCUGUACCUUUAUGGCCACAGCACUACUGAGCUGCUCCAGUACUUCUCAGUUGUGUCCUACUGGUGAGCAGGGACAGGAGAACAGGAGGGCACCAAGAGCUCUCAUCUCUUUGAUCUCUGCCUGGCUUCAUACAGCUAUGAGCUCUGUCAGACCUUACCCUUUCUGGGAGCCUCAGGGCACUUCUGGAAGCCUUCACAAUCUUCUCCUCGAACUUCUGCAGUCAGCUAUGCUUUAUUCACUUUUAAAAUGACAAAGGGGAAAUAAGUUGUCCUUUUCAAGCCUUCUCCUGCCUGUUGCUUCUGAGAGGCUCCAAAUUUCCACUGUUCCUCAUGGGCCGAGAAUCAGGCAACUCUUUGAACAUGCAGGAUACUCUCCAUGAGGCUGUAUAAUACAACACUCAUCAGUCACGCUGCUGGAAGCAGCAGGUCUGCCUUUAAAAUACAGGCUUCUAAAUUGUGAGCAAUACAGGUAAUGUAGUAAUAAUACUGAGAGCUUGUUAUUUGCUCUAAAUUCUCAAUCACAGCUGCCAUAUGUCUUGAAAAAUUCAUUCUAGCUGAGUCUGGGUUAUGUGAUAAAGGACACAUCUGGAGCUGAGUCAGAGGCUCAUUUACUCUUUAACUGUGGCAGAGGGAGCCCCAUAAUGAAAGCGGUGACUGUGACUGCUCCCCUAGAGAAGUGCCAAUGUUAUUGUACUCACUGUAAAUUCAUGGGAAGGAAACUUCACAGGCUUUUUUUUCUUUUCUUUUGAGAAGUUCAGGCACAUUUGAACCAAGACAUUCCUGCUUCUCUCAGCUGCCAGGUCCUAAGCAGUGUUUUUGUUGUACUUGAUAUCAAAUACCUGGUGAAUAAUCAAAUUCCCUGCUCUGGUACAGCUGUGUCGUUAGGUAAAAGCAAGAAUUACUGAACUUCACCCUUGUCAGACAGCAUUUUUGCUCUUUGGCUGCAGAAGGCAGGUCUCUGCAGUGUGCACACAGCUGGACCAGCUCCCCACAUCCUUUCAUAGAUUCAUAGAAUCGCAGAAUCACCAAGGUUGGAAAAGACCCACAGGAUCACCCAGUCCAACCAUCCACCCAUCACCAACGGUUCUCACUAAACCAUGUCCCUCAACACAACGUCCAAACAUUCCUUGAACACCUCCAGGGUCGGUGACUCCACCACCUCUCUGGGCAGCCCAUUCCAGUGCCUGACCACCCUUUCAGAGAAACAGUAUUUCUUAACAUCCAGCCUGAACCUUCCCUGGCGCAGCUUGAAGCCAUUCCCUCUAGUCCUAUCACUAGUUACAUGAGAGAAGAGGCCGACCCCCAGCUCACUACAACCUCCCUUCAGGUAGUUAUAGAGAGCAAUAAGGUCUCCCCUGAGCCUCCUCUUCUCCAGACUGAACAAUCCCAGCUCCUUCAGCCGCUCCUCAUAAGGCCUGUGCUCCAGACCCCUCACAGCUUUGUUGCCCUUCUCUGGACAGGCUCCAGGCCUCCAUGUCUUUCCUGAAGUAAGGGGCCCAAAACUGGACACAGUACUGGAGGUGCGGCCUCACCAGUGCUGAGUACAGAGGGACAAUUACUUCCCUGUUCCUGCUGGCAACACUGUUUCUGAUGCAAGCCAGGAUGCCAUUGGCCCUCUUGGCCACCUGGGCACAGGGCUGGCUCACAUUCAGUAGAACAUCAGUCAAUACCCUCAGGUCCAUUUCCACUACACAGUUUUCCAGCCACUCUGCCCCAAGCCUGUAGUGUUGCCUGGGGUUGUUGUGGUCCUGCACAGCUCCCCUGAGCAGUGACUCCACACACAUUGCCAGCAGCAGGGAGCACCCAACCAGGGGCCAUAGGCUGCUAUG
ensembl:lncRNA